ensembl:lncRNA LINC02248 long intergenic non-protein coding RNA 2248
GUGCAUAUGCACAGAAAGUUCUAGAAGAACCCAGGAGGCAGUGUGAGCCUGAGAAGCAAAACCACAAAGAGAACAGAGGGAAACUCACGGACAAUGGUGGGAGAAGCAGAGCCAGUGUGCACAGAGCAGUAAAGGGCAGAACCAGGAGCCGACAAGAGUCUCGAAGCCUCAGGCGGGGCGCCAGGGAGGUCUGCAGCUGACAGUGAGGGGAUCAGUGCCACCCAGGUCCUCUAUGGGAUUCCUGAAUUGUUGUGGAGACUGGAGCAGCUGGGAUCCCUCGCUCUCAUGUUUUCAGUUCUCUGUGGGGCUUGAAGGUGUGGCUGCCGUGUGGAAAUGGACUCAGGUCAUUGACUAACAACAUCAACAAUGAAAUGAAUCUGAGAAAACAGGAAAUUGAGAGCAAGAGAAAAAAAAGUUAAUUAUACUGAUUUUGUAUAAGACCCCUUUGAACACAUUUUUAAAAAAUCAAAUAGAAGGUGCCCAGGUCCACUGUGCCUUGUGAAUAUUUGUCUUGUA